UUACUUUCUUCAUUCCCAACAUGAAUUCUAUUAUAGGGUAAAUAUUAACUUUGAGUUGUUUUGGAUCUUAAUUUUAAUGUGAAGGAUGAGAAGCCAACCAACUGGUAGUUUGCAGAAUCUGUUCAGAUGAAGGGGAAACCAAUCACACAUAACACAAAUUGCUAUGGUUAGAUAAAAUUUGUAAAUUUCCAUCUCCUUUUAAUACUUACAUUAAAUAAUGCUCUAUUACUUCCAUCUCCUUUUAAUAUUUCUCUAAUAGUAGUGAUAAUAGUAUAUCCUCUUAUGGUAUGAUUCUAGCUCUUUGUAAAUUAUGAUUGACCUUUUCAUCUCUUUCUUAUUAAUUUCACUUAAUUGUUUCUUUACUACACUAUUGUGAUUUAUUUUCUGUUAUAGUAUGUUAUUGCUGCUGCUGCAUAAGUUUAUGGUUUGUGUAUGUUUUUGGUUGUUUCGCAGUUCUGUUUCUAAAGUCUGAAUGCGAACCCUCUGCGAGACCACCGUGAGACCAUGCAAAAGUUGUUUGCUACCACACCAUCACUAUUUUCAAUCAAUGCCUCCAGUUGUAGUGGGAGAUGUGAUUCCAGACGGAGCUUAAUUUUGUUGCCCUUAUUUGUUGUCAUUUGUGUGUGUGCGCUAUAGGUCCGGGGUUUUUAAUGAUUGAGUCCAUUCGUUUUUUUAAGUAUCCNNNN
rnacentral:lncRNA from 1 species